AACUGAGAGGUAUAAAAACAUAUUUCACUCUUCGUAAAGAACUUUGUGAGGAAAUAUAACUCUGUGAUUGUAUAGACACUUUUCCUCACAAACACUUUGACAUUCACAAACAGUAGAUUGAGCUGCAGUUUGUAACCAUUUUAAGUUGCAUAAACUUCUCCUUGAUUUUCAAAUGUAGUGUACUACUGUCUACUAAAACUCCUUUUUGUUUCAGCUAAGUACUGUCACAUAUAUUAGUUUAUAAUAAUGUUUCUUAUUAUUUUUAAAGUGUUUUCCAUUCAAGGAAAAGAAGUAAAUUCCUAUGUCAGAUGGUUGAAGACUAGGUAUUAGCCAGAGAGGUCUAGAUGGUAAAAUCCAUCUUCCAGCCUCAAAUAAGCUCCGUGAACAUAGAGCAAUGCCAGCUCUUGAAGAAGAUGUCUCUUCCCGUUCUUGGCAGCCCGAAGAGAAUGGCAUGCAGCCUCUCCUGCUCCUUCUGCCGCCUCUCCUGUACCAACAGCUUCUCCACCCAAGCCUGGGGAGUCCUGCAUUACAGAAAGCACCUGCUGGAUCUGCUGUGCGGUGGGGUUGUCAUGGGGAGAACCCUCCCUGUCCUCUCUUGGUGCAGGCUCCACGCUAUCAGUGAGGCUCGCCUCACAGAGAUCUUCACGGAGAGGGAGGGGGGUGGGAAUCUGAGCACAGUGCAAGCCUCCCCUGCUCCUGACUGCCCACCCCACCUGGGGGCUCUACUCACCACCCUGCUUGUCAGCAACACCCCAGCUCCUGUGGGACUGGGGCUCCCAGAGCGGUACACAGGUACGGGUCUGGCUGCUGCUGCAGACUCUGAGCCUCUUGGCUCUUCAGCUCCACCUGCAGGAAGACCCUGGGCAUGAAGGCAUGUAAUAGGGUAGCGAGGGCACUGUGGGGCUCUGUGGCCUGCCCAGGCCCCUGGCCCCUUGCUCCAGGCCUAACAGACUGCCUCCCUUGCCUAGAGCCCCGUGCCUCCUUCCCCAGCCUCAAAUCUCACGUCCUUUUUCCCAGCAUUUAAACUGUAGGCCACAGACUGGUGGAAAAGCAGGGGGAGCCCACCACCAUCUGCUGAGUGUGCUACAUGCCUCAUGUUUCCACGUAUUACCUCAUUUAAUCCUCAGCACCUCUGCAAGGAAAAGGCCACCUUCCUUUUGAAGUUAAAGAAACAGAGACUUAGAGAUGCAAAGUGGUUGAAUUAUGACCAGUGGGACCGAGGUCCGAAUCCAGUUUGAAUCUAAGGAGUCUUUUCUGUUUUUGUGUUUUGUUUCGUUUUGAGACAGUGUCACUCUGUGUCCCAGGCUGAAGUGCAGUGGUGCGAUCUCAGCUCACUGCAACCUUCACCUCCUGGGCUCGAGUGAUUCUCGUGUCUCAGCCUCCAGAGUAGCUGGGAUUACAGGCAUGCACCACCAGGCCCAGCUAAUUAUUAUUAUUUUUUAAUUUUAGUAGAGAUGAGCUUUCGCCAUUUUGGCCAUGCUGGUCUCAAACUCCUGACCUCAAGUGAUUGUCCUGCCUCAGCCUCCCGAAGUGCUGGGAUUACAGGCGUGAGCCACCACACCCAACAUAAGGAGCCUCUUAUACCACUGUCUCUUCCUCUGUGAUUGGGGGCUCCAUGCCUCUAGCUGGGAUGAUGAUGUCCAGACCUGGGAGGAGCCCAGGGCUACCCGCCUCUAAAAGUCAGAGGGCAGGAAGCAAGAAACAGUCAUAGGACCGCCAUGGAGUGUGCUGGGGUCACCUGCCCCCAGGCUGCAGCUGCCUCUGGCCUGGCACCUCCCCUCCCCAGAGGCUGGUGCCCUCCUCCCAGCCCUUCUUGGAUGGGUCAGAGGUUACCAUCUCUUUCAGCUCACCCGGCUUCUUCUUUACUUUCUGCUCCACCAGCUGUAGGGUCUUGUUCUGGACAGAGAGAACCAAUCAGUGGCCACCCACUAAAACUGGAGACCCCAGAACUUGGUGUCUGCCUCCCAUGGCACCGGGAAGGGUGGAGGCAGGUUAGAAAAAUCAUCCCCUCUCUCCCACAGCCAUCAGAGCAGGGCUCUGGCUCACAGGUGCCUUUAGAAGUACCAUUUCAUGUGAAGGCUACAAUGCCCCAUUUUACAGGUGGGGAAACAAAGGCCUUGAGGGCUAGGGAAGAGGGCAGCCUCCCCAGGUGGGCAACGCACCAGCUCCUCCGAGGCGCUGGAUGGCCCGUCGCACUCCUCAUCGAGGGCUUCCCACCCCGGCUCUAGCAUCCUCUCCAGCUCCCGCGGCCUCUCCUGCCCUGGCGGCUCCUCCUGCUGACGCAGCCUCUCUUCCCACUGACGUAGCCUCUCUUCCUCUUCACGUAGCCUCGUUUCCCAGUCACAUGUCCUCUCCUCCCAUUCACAUAAGUUGUUGUCCAGUUCGCAGAUCUCCUCCUCUGACGUAUCCUCUUCUGAUGACGUAGACACUUCUCCAGUCUGGUUUUCAGGAGAGUCAAAUCUUGUUGUUUUCCACCUCGGCCUGGAGCCGUCUUCCCACGCUCUCCAGCUCCUUUCUUAGGUGGUUGGCCUCCUCCCGUAGCUGCUCCACCUCAGAGGGCCCUGCUGGGGUUCAGCCGAGAAAGGAAGCAGACAAUAAGGGCCUCUGGAUUCCCCCCCCCAAAAAAAAAUCCUCCCUUUGAUACACAGCUCCUCCUCUCAGGCUUCCCAAACUUGGCCUCACUGCUAAUGAUUCCUCGCACCCAGAUGGUAGCCAAUCUUCCAAGUCACUUUCAGAUAGAGAGCACUGUGGGCGGCUGACAACGGGCACUCCUCCCUCUACUGAUGGGGACACUGAGGCUCAUGGAGAUGACAAGACUUGCCGUCUCCUGGCACAGACCUCUUUCCCUCUGCCUAAAAGCCCUUCCAUCCACCUACCUCCCUGGGGCAUUCUAAGUCACCCCCACCUCUGAUGCCAGUCCUGCUCCCAGGUCAUGCCAGCCCUGUCUUACCCGUCUGGUGUUUUAACUUGAACAAGCUCCUCCCGAGCUUCUGUAAUGGAUGCUUCCCCUUCUUCGACGUGCGAGGAGCCUGCCCAAAGCACAGGGGGAAAGGGCCCUGGAGAGAGGGGCUGGUGAACCUCUAGAGACAGACUUUGAGAAAGGCCCACCCCCCUUCUGCCAGCUUGUGAUUAAAAAGCUGCAUUCAUUCAACAAACAUUUACGAGCACGUACAGGCCAGGUACAGUUCUUCAUAGCAGAGAUACAAGACAGCAAAGGACAGACAGGAGCCCUUGGCCCUGAGGUUUCCAUUCUAGGGGCCUUUAAAUCUCAGACUUUCAGAGCUAACGGAGACCUUUGAUACUCUCUACCUCCUCCAGAAACACGAGCCUAAGGAGGAGACUUGGCUUGUCCAGACUCAAAAGCAAAUUAGGGACUGAGGCAGGGCAGAAAUUCCGGCCCCUGACAACCAGUCAGGCUAGUGCUUCCCUGAGAGGUGACAACUCCAGGGCAUGUGUGGCAAGGACUAGAGCAGGGGUGUCUGGAGAAGAGACAGUCAGCAAAGAGGGCAGAGCGGAAGAGCCACGCUGCAUGUUCUGUGCUCUGGGGUCCCUCCAGGUGAGACCUGGGUACCCCAGCUCCCCAUUUGCCCUUGGCAUCAGGGGCCCCUAGCCCCUUUCUUCAGGGCCCCAAGGGGAAACUGGAGUCCAGGAUUGACAGGCUGGAAUCAGGGGACCCCACUGGACUCUUCCCAGUGAAUUGAUGUUUUCGCUGAGUUGGUCGAUUAUUGUGGAGCUUGAAUCCAGGGCUACCUCUAGUUUUUGGUACUGGCUCUGAGGUGCAUGCAGAGAGGAGGAGUUGGAAGAAGAUUGUGGGGAGGGGUAGAGAGAACAAUCAUUAGGGCUGGGGGGGGUGUGGGCUGUCUCAGCUGGCAGAGGGGCAACAAGCCCCUGCUGUGGGAGGAGGUUGGAGGGCUGGCCUGCAGGGUCACUGCACCUCGGCCCAGGGCCUCUUACCUCCAGAUCCUUCAGGGUAGAUGACGCCAGAUCCUUCAGGGUAGAUGACGCAGGGCCCUCUCUGUCCACACUUGUUGCUGACUGCAAGAGAUGAGAGUGCACAUGGAGAUGUUCUGUCCCCCCUCACUGUCUAAGCCCUCUGACUUCCUUUCUUCCCCAUCAACUGACAAAAGCUUCUUUUCUGCCUAUCUUGGACCUUUUGUCCUAUAACUCCUUUGUGCCAACUUCUCUCAUGGUUCUUAUCUCCCCACCAUCCCACCGUGGGGCCCUUUCAGUGACUCCUAAAGGGACGGCCUGAUGGCAAGUGGCUCUUCUCAUUGGCCUGGCUUCCCCUUGAGACUGGGGAUGAGGAAAAUCAAAGAGCAAUGACCAUUUCCUGGAUGUCCUGGGUGUUUGCAGCAGGCCAUGUACUAAGGAUGCACAUAAAAGCAACAAUAACGAAUCUCAUUUAAACUUCACAAAUGGAAGUCAAAAAAUACCACCUCUAUUAUACAGAUGUGAAAAGAGAGGCCCAAAGACCUCAAGCAACUUGCCCUAAAUCAUAUCCUAAUCAAUCCCUAAUCGAUCCUUAGCAGACGGAGAGGCAGGAUUCAAACCCAGGAUUCUUAACCAGUACCCAACAGUCCAUCCACAAUCUUAACAAUUACCCUCUACUGCCCGUUGGGCCUGCUGUCCCCAGGAGCCUGGCCAGCCAAGACUCACAUCGCCAGGUGAGUGGUAACCACAAGGAGUGGCUGUGUCAGGGCUACUGCCAUUGAUUUUCUUUCCUCCUGGAAUGCCAGGGCUCUUCCUCUGCCAAAAUUGUCUGAACUGUGGGAAAAAAGAGCAGUAACACUCGUGAGAACUAUCAGCCCCUAUAGCCACAUCCUCCUUUACAGUUUUGACAAAAUACUCUUAUGCACCAUCUGAUUUAAUGCCACCAACCACUGUACAAGAUGUUGUCACAAUCAUUUAGUGACUGAGAGGGAUUGAUAUCAUGGAUAGAAAAAACAAAAGAAAGACAAAGGCAAUACUGGAACUUAAACUCAGUCUUCUGACUCCAAGCUCUGGGGUUUUGCCUUGAAUCAGCAGCUGCCAGGGACCAAAACCAGGGGCAGAGGUAGAAAAGUAAGCAUUAAGCAGGCAGGAAUUGUAGGCAGUGUGGUUUAGAGUCAUACAUCCUCACACGUCUGUUGGUGUGAAGAAGUGCACCGGUACCUCUCACACUUUCAUAUCAAUGUGUCCUCAUGGCAAAAGGCAGCUUUUCUGUUAAAUCUGGGAAUUUAUCAGGAAGAUGACAACCCAAGCCUCAUUUCAGAGAGAAGUCUGGUAUGUGCUUGGAAACCUAUGUGUCUGUCAUCUCUAAGUACAUUAAUGUUUUUUCUCAAGAGAAUCAAGGGAAAAUGAUGCUUCAGAAAGAUGUCCCACAUUUAUCCUGUGGCACUCAAAGUACCCCAGGUUGAGAUGAUAUGAGGAAGAUUCAAGCUGUCAAGUUCAGUUUCCCAAGAUCUAUUCCACAGAAGACGGACAAAUCUCAUUUCAGAGACCACUGACUGAAGGGCAGUCUGGUCCCAGAAGCGUGGAGAACUCAGAAAAAAAUGUUAAAGUCUCUCUGGAAAGUAGAAGCCCGGGAGAAAACCAAACCAAACCCAUUCUCCCAUUGCCACCCAGAGAUACUGUCAACGUUUUGAGCUCACGGGCGAAGCGUAGGCUUUUCCCACUGUCAAUUAGACAUUGUUAAGGGAGUAAGGCAGCCUGAAACCUCUCGCUCCUAGGUCCCAUAGUCUCCACUCCCUUCCAGCUGGAAAUUUGUGCUGCAACCAGAGGAACCAGACCUGGGGUGAGAAAACUUAGGGGACUGGGUUGUAAGAUCAAAGGCCGGUCUUGCAGUAGUAAUGACAGUUCCUAGGGGGACUGUGACAUCACUACAUUCCACUCCUCCCAGGGGAGGGGACCACAUCAACGCGAUGCCCAAGUAGCCGCUCCACGAUGGGGUAGGGAAACACACGGUUUUGACCCAGGUCCUCGGAGACGCCAGCCCAAGAAGCCCAGGGAGGUCGAGCUUGGGGCAGCAAGAGGGGAGGGCAGAGUCUGCAGUAGGGAGCCCCAGGAGUCAACCGCCCAAAGUCACCCUGGGGUGAUUGGCAAGGGCAAGGACUGGGCUCCUUGCCGAAGGGGUGGGGCUGACUGACAAGACUUUGGUUGGGGGAGCCCAGAGGUGCUGGGGUUGUGGGGACCAGUCUGGUAUGCCUCAGGAGUGGUAUGGGCUCUGGCACCGGUCUUGUCAUCAGAGGGGAUCUGUGGCUGGGUUGGGGGCCAUGACCUGGUGCGUUUUUACCUUUUUCUUGGCUGCGGCCAAUUUCCCCUGUUGUGUUUUUUUCUGACAUCGCGGGGUGGGGAGGGAGGCAGGGUUGGGGCCACGUCAGCAAAAUCCCAGUGAGCACUGCUGAAUGCCUCCAGUCAACCACCAGGCAGCUGUGCGACUGAGCCACAGGAGGCGUAACCAGGGCCCCACUAGAACGCAGAACAGGGGGCGUGGCCUGAAUACUCCAAGCCCAUUGGUCAGUGAGAAAGAUGGAAAGGAGGCGUGGCCAGGCAGCAGCCUGUCCAGAGGGACCUGUGACAUCAUAAGGAAAGCGGCCCAUGCAACCACUGUCCCCGCCCACUCAGAGAAAGGGGAGGGGCCGCCCACUCUGGGAGAGGGGAGGGGCUGGAUUUUGCUUUAAAAGCUUUGAAACUGUAAAAAAUAAACUUGAAAAAGCA